rnacentral:rRNA from 1 species
AUUGAACGCUGGCGGCAGGCCUAACACAUGCAAGUCGGACGGUAGCACAGAGGAGCUUGCUCCUUGGGUGACGAGUGGCGGACGGGUGAGUAAUGUCUGGGGAUCUGCCCGAUAGAGGGGGAUAACCACUGGAAACGGUGGCUAAUACCGCAUAACGUCGCAAGACCAAAGAGGGGGACCUUCGGGCCUCUCACUAUCGGAUGAACCCAGAUGGGAUUAGCUAGUAGGCGGGGUAAUGGCCCACCUAGGCGACGAUCCCUAGCUGGUCUGAGAGGAUGACCAGCCACACUGGAACUGAGACACGGUCCAGACUCCUACGGGAGGCAGCAGUGGGGAAUAUUGCACAAUGGGCGCAAGCCUGAUGCAGCCAUGCCGCGUGUAUGAAGAAGGCCUUCGGGUUGUAAAGUACUUUCAGCGGGGAGGAAGGCGAUGCGGUUAAUAACCGCAUCGAUUGACGUUACCCGCAGAAGAAGCACCAGCUAACUCCGUGCCAGCCGCCGCUGUAA